CAGGAACACUGCAGGAUUCACUGCAGGAGUCACUGCAGGAUUCACGGCAGGAGUCACUUCAGCAGCUGCAGAGGAAAAGUUAGACUUUGAAGAACAACAACAACAAGAACAAAAGGGUCGCUACUGGAAAAGGCCUUUUGUGUUCUGAGGAUGGUCCAGAGAAAGAACAGCUCAAGGUUUUAGUUUUUGUAGUUGUUACAGCCAUUUGUAUGUGUGUUCAGGUCAUUCCCCGAUUGCCACAGUAGGUGGCAUAUUGGACAGCAGCACAUGGAAAAGUAUAAAUCGAAGAAGAGGUAAUUACUCCUCGGGUGUGCUGCUUACCGGGAGAAGCACACAGUUUUUGACCGCCGCAGUUUAGAAGCUAAUUUUUAAGCCUUUUGUUUGUUUACAUGCAAGUUAUGGAUGUAAGUGUGUGCAGAGCAACGGCUGUAGUGGUACAUGGUGGUAAACAAACACAUCUUAAGCACAAGUCCACAGAUAUUUGAUUCACUGCGUGGAGCCACCACAUGAUGGCGUGUCAGUUACAUAUCUCAGUACCAGCACCUCACUGUGGCUUAGGUUUUUUUUGUUUGUCGACAUCAAGUCACUACAGUCGUAUAACUUCCCAAACCUGCCUUAAGCAGUUAUGAAAGUUCAAUGUUUUCAUUUCUGUGACCAAGUAUUUCAUUUUAAAAUAAUCAACAUGUUUAGUUUGGUAUUAUUGGGACAUGCAGCUACAUAUGGUUCAGAAAUUAUCACUGGCUGACUUCUGCUUGAUAAAUUUUUGUUGUUGUUAAUAUGAGCUCAAAGACUUUUCGUGAUGACUUCCUUUUUUUGUCAUAUUUCAACUCAUCCAUAGUCAGAGAUUAUUUGAUCUACUUUUCCAACAUUACAGAUUAUGACUCAGUGACAUGCUGAGAAAUAAAAGUAAAAAUUUCA